GAGGGUGGCGCUCAGAGGUAGAGCACGUGCUUAGCAUGCACGAGGUCCUGGGUUCAGUCCCCAGUACCUCA
rnacentral:tRNA from 1 species